UAGGGAAUCUUCGGCAAUGGACGAAAGUCUGACCGAGCAACGCCGCGUGAGUGAAGAAGGUUUUCGGAUCGUAAAACUCUGUUGUUAGAGAAGAACAAGGACGUUAGUAACUGAACGUCCCCUGACGGUAUCUAACCAGAAAGCCACGGCUAACUACGUGCCAGCAGCCGCGGUAAUACGUAGGUGGCAAGCGUUGUCCGGAUUUAUUGGGCGUAAAGCGAGCGCAGGCGGUUUCUUAAGUCUGAUGUGAAAGCCCCCGGCUCAACCGGGGAGGGUCAUUGGAAACUGGGAGACUUGAGUGCAGAAGAGGAGAGUGGAAUUCCAUGUGUAGCGGUGAACUGCGUAGAUAUAUGGAGGAACACCAGUGGCGAAGGCGGCUCUCUGGUCUGUAACUGCCGCUGAGGCUCGAAAGCGUGGGGAGCAAACAGG
rnacentral:rRNA from 1 species